rnacentral:rRNA from 1 species
GAUGAACGCUGGCGGCGUGCCUAAUACAUGCAAGUCGAGCGAACAGACGAGGAGCUUGCUCCUCUGACGUUAGCGGCGGACGGGUGAGUAACACGUGGAUAACCUACCUAUAAGACUGGGAUAACUUCGGGAAACCGGAGCUAAUACCGGAUAAUAUAUUGAACCGCAUGGUUCAAUAGUGAAAGACGGUUUUGCUGUCACUUAUAGAUGGAUCCGCGCCGCAUUAGCUAGUUGGUAAGGUAACGGCUUACCAAGGCAACGAUGCGUAGCCGACCUGAGAGGGGUAUCGGCCACACCGGAACUUAGACACGGUCCAGACUCCUACGGGAGGCAGCAGUAGGGAAUCUUCCGCAAUGGGCGAAAGCCUGACGGAGCAACGGCGCGUGAGUGAUGAAGGUCUUCGGAUCGUAAAACUCUGUUAUUAGGGAAGAACAAAUGUGUAAGUAACUAUGCACGUCUUGACGGUACCUUAUCAGAAAGCCCCGGCUAACUACGUG